rnacentral:rRNA from 1 species
GGUUAGACGAAGAAUCUGAAUGGAGUAAUUUAUUAUUUUAAUUAACAGUAAAUAGUUUUAAGUAAAUUUAUUUUUUUCUUUAGGUGAAAUUUAUAUAAAAGAACAAAUAAUCUUGGAUUAUUUAUAGGAAUUAAUAAGUGAAGAUAAAAAACCAGGAUUAGAUACCCUGUUAUUCUUUAUAAUGUUUAGUAGGGUAGUAAAAGUUAUUCUUCAAACCCAAAGAUUUUGGCGGCAUUUUAUCCAAACAGAGGAGCUUGUCUUAUAAUCGAUAAUCCUCGUUUUAUCUUACCUUUAUUUGUAUAGCUUGUAUACCUCCGUUGACAGAUUACUCUAAAAGGAUGUUUUCUACAAAAAUUAUUUUUUUUACUUCAGGUCAAGGUGCAGUUUAUAUAAAGGAAAUGAUGAGCUACAAUUUUUUAAAAAAAACGGAUUUCAAUUUAAAACUUGAUUGAAGGUGGAUUUGUUAGUAAGCUUUACUAAAGAAAAGUAAGCUGAACUAGGCAAUAGAAUGUGCACAUAUCGCCCGUCACUCUCCUUCUAAGAGGAGAUAAGUCGUAACAAA